rnacentral:lncRNA from 1 species
AGUUCUACUACAUUCUAGGUAGAUACAAGAGUGUUCUAGAGAGUUCUAGAGUGUUUUAGAGAGUUCUAAAGAGCUCUAGAGAGUUCUAGAGAGUUCUAGAGAGUUCUAGAGAGUUCUAGAGAUCUCUAUAAAUCUCUACACCUAGUAGAAUAUACAAGAUAACUCUAGAGGGGUCUAGAGUCUUCCAGGGCCUUCCGGGGCANNNNNNNNNNNNNNNNNNNNNNNNNNNNNNNNNNNNNNNNNNNNNNNNNNNNNUGGCUGCCCUUGCUGCCCAUGGCCGAAUCUAGAAGCCUCCACAUGAUUCUAGGCUUGUCUUCAACAAUCUGCACAAUUCUAGAGUCUUCCAGGGCCUUUCGGGGCACGCUGGACUGUUCCGGAAGCAUUUUGGAGCUGUUUUGAGCCUGUUUUGGGGCGAAAAUAGUGCCGUCCGUAACAUUACUCUUGGGGAGACUCGAACUCACAACCUCUCGGUUGGAAGUGGGGGUUGCUUACCAUCAGAGCAACCCCUUUUGUCAAAAAACUGUAAAGCCAUUUGCUUUCUGGAAAAUGAAACCCCAAUACAAUUUCAAGCAAAGACGAAAAGGAUUCAUGGCAUAAUGCCUAAUCCAAACAGAGAAGGAAUGACAUGAAAUUUUCUGUCUAUAAAUGCUCGUAGGUUAAUAUGAAAUAAGAAGUGUCUGCCGUAGCAAUCACUAGUUGAUUCCAUGAUUUGAAGACAAGACAAAACUGUUGCCUUGGCUAACAUUGGAUUCACAAAUAUAAGUAUUUGAAGAUUGCUAAAGCAUAAUCAAAAUUGUAUUGACGUGGAAAACCAAUAUCUCACGGUCCAUGAAUCAGUGGGUGGCAAGGUGUGUGAAUUCAAUGGGAUUUUCAACCAGAAUGGAAUUUUGUUGAAACUAAUGUCGUCGCUGUUCGAAUAAAUUUUGUCCAAUGAAUUUGUUUCAUCUUUCUGUUAGCAUGUGGAAAUCCAUGAUAACUUUCAAUUCACAUAAAAGUUGUCUUGUGAUGAUGGAAAGCCGAGCAGUGAUUGUUGCGGCCAUGUAACGUUGGGCUUACACCGCGGAACAUUGCUAUCUUUGUGUUUUUUAUUUAUUUGUCGAAAAUUAAAGUGUAAGUGAUUUUAUAUUCGUUUUGAAGAUUAAAAUUUUAGUAAUUUUUUACUUUAAUAUAUUAUUUUAUUUGAAGAUUAAAAAUUUACCGUUUAUUAAAUUUGAUUGUGUCACAUAUCAUUCGAUUUAAAAAUUAA